AUUGAACGCUGGCGGCAGGCCUAACACAUGCAAGUCGAACGAGUGGCGGACGGGUGAGUAAUGUCUGGGAAACUGCCUUAUGGAGGGGGAUAACUACGGGAAACGGUAGCUAAUCCCGCAUACCAUCGUAUGAGCUCAGAGGGGAUUGGCUAGUGGGUGGGGUAACGGCUCACAUAGCCGACGAUCCCUAGCUGGUCUGAGAGGAUGACCGGCAACACUGGAACUGAGACACGGCCCGGACUCCUACGGGAGGCAGCAGUGGGGAAUAUUGCACAAUGGGCGCAAGCCUGAUGCAGCCAUGCCGCGUGGAUGAAGAAGGUCGUCGGGUUGUAAAGUACUUUCAGCGGGGAGGCGUUACCCGCAUAAGAAGCACCGGCUAACUCCGUGCCAGCAGCCGCGGUAAUAC
rnacentral:rRNA from 1 species